rnacentral:pre_miRNA from 1 species
AAAAAAAUAAUCGGACCGUCGGUCUACCGAGCAAAUAUCACCCGCUCGGUGAAAGAUCUUCCCUUUGUCGUUAAAU